AUGUUAAUUGAAAAAACUUGCUGGAAAGACAAGGAUUUGCCGAAGUCAAAGAAAAAUGACGAAGCAGAGUCUCAGGGCAGCAUUGAUAUGUUCAAGAUCUGCAACUUGAAGCCAGCUUUGCCAACCAGCUUUCCUGUGCCAGAUUUUUGCAACCAAGAUAUGUGUGAGAAGAUCAACUUUGCCAUUGACAAGAGCCUGUCCUUAUCAAGUGUUGCUGAAAAGAAUGAAAUUUACAUGGAGGAAGCAGGAAAGGGUCUUGACUGGGUUCAUUCAAAGGAAAAAUACAAGGAAUAUUUGAAGCAGCUUCCAUACCUAAGCUCCAGCAAGAGUAAGGCAGCAUCCAUGGCAAACCCUCACGUGGUCCAGAAGCGUAAAGCAGUUUCAAUGAAGAAGAAUAUGCAGUUGCCUCAAACCAAGGAGAAGAUGGUGAGUGCAGAUGCUGAAGUAAAUAUGGUCAAGGAAGCUGUGCUUCAAACUGAUAUGCCAACUGUAGUGAGCAGAGAGCCAACCACCAUCAAAGGAGUUCAACAGAUCAAGGGAAAGACUCCCCUUUCAACAGUCCCACCAAAACCACCUAAGCAGCAAAAGAUCGACAAGUUUGACAGGGGCACAAAGGGGGAACAGGCCACAAAAGGGAUGCCAAGUUCUGUUAGGUUGCUGCCAACUCAGACUGGAAAGAUGCCAACUACAGAUGCCAGUGUGCCAAUCUCCGUUUCUUAG
rnacentral:rRNA from 1 species